UACGUAGGGGGCAAGCGUUGUCCGGAUUUAUUGGGCGUAAAGAGCGUGUAGGCGGCCGUACAGGUCAGCUGUGAAAACUCGAGGCUCAACCUCGAGCUGUCGGCGGAAACCAUCUGGCUAGAGUCCGGAAGAGGAGAGUGGAAUUCCCGGUGUAGCGGUGAAAUGCGCAGAUAUCGGGAAGAACACCCGUGGCGAAGGCGGCUCUCUGGGACGGUACUGACGCUGAGACGCGAAAGCAUGGGGAGCGAACAGG
rnacentral:rRNA from 1 species